rnacentral:rRNA from 1 species
GACGAACGCUGGCGGCGUGCCUAACACAUGCAAGUCGAACGAGGUCCAAGGGAGCUUGCUCCCUGACGACCUAGUGGCGAACGGGUGAGUAACACGUGAGAAACCUGCCUCGGAGUGGGGAAUAACUCGGGGAAACUCGAGCUAAUACCGCAUACCUUCACAUGAUCGCAUGGUCGAGUGAAGUAAGAACUUCGCUCUGAGAGGGUCUCGCGGCCUAUCAGCUAGUUGGUGGGGUAACGGCCUACCAAGGCAACGACGGGUAGCUGGUUUGAGAGAACGAUCAGCCACACUGGGACUGAGACACGGCCCAGACUCCUACGGGAGGCAGCAGUGGGGAAUCUUGCGCAAUGGGCGAAAGCCUGACGCAGCAACGCCGCGUGCGGGAUGACGGCCUUCAUGGUUGUAAACCGCUUUCAGCAGGGACGAAAUUGACGGUACCUGCAGAAGAAGCCCCGGCUAACUACGUGCCAGCCGCCGCGGUAA